rnacentral:rRNA from 1 species
GCGCUCAAAGGUUCCCUCAGAAUGGUUGGAAAUCAUUCAUAGAGUGUAAAGGCAUAAGGGAGCUUGACUGCGAGACCUACAAGUCGAGCAGGGUCGAAAGACGGACUUAGUGAUCCGGUGGUUCCGCAUGGAAGGGCCAUCGCUCAACGGAUAAAAGCUACCCCGGGGAUAACAGGCUUAUCUCCCCCAAGAGUUCACAUCGACGGGGAGGUUUGGCACCUCGAUGUCGGCUCAUCGCAUCCUGGGGCUGUAGUCGGUCCCAAGGGUUGGGCUGUUCGCCCAUUAAAGCGGUACGCGAGCUGGGUUCAGAACGUCGUGAGACAGUUCGGUCCCUAUCCGUCGUGGGCGUAGGAAAUUUGAGAGGAGCUGUCCUUAGUACGAGAGGACCGGGAUGGACAUACCUCUGGUGUACCAGUUGUCGUGCCAACGGCAUAGCUGGGUAGCUAUGUGUGGACGGGAUAAGUGCUGAAAGCAUCUAAGCAUGAAGCCCCCCUCAAGAUGAGAUUUCCCAACUUCGGUUAUAAGAUCCCUCAAAGAUGAUGAGGUUAAUAGGUUCGAGGUGGAAGCAUGGUGACAUGUGGAGCUGACGAAUACUAAUCGAUCGAAGACUUAAUCAA